AUUCGUCGCGUGAUAUUUCUAUGGAGGACGCCGUUUCGAAUGCGGGCUUAUUAUCCCGCAGCGGAUAUACGUUUCAUGCAUGCGCUAGUCAUUGUGGGCUCAAAUAGUGGCCAGUAAUUAAAGAACGGAACAUGCGCUCUGGAACUCGUCCACGAUCGUGGACGGCGGUUUGAUCAAACGAACUUGCGACCCAUGGCAGAGGUAUCUUUUCCACUCGAACGCCAGCCAAGGGAAAUACAGAGAAAAGAGGCCUCUGCUAGCAGGGAAGCACUUACCUUGUGUUUCCGAUAAUAUUGAAAGCUCCUUCUUCGAUUUAUACCGCGGAUACGAUGGCGAUAUCAAAGAAUUAUUAGAAAUGUCCAGUACAGAACUACUAUGAUUGCAAAUCAUUGCCCAAGAAAAAAAAUGGAUUGCUUUAUUAUUUUAAGCCAAGGCAAACACAGCCACGGAGGAGACACAUAGACCCCUUAGAAAUCAGUGGGCUCCAGUGAAUACUGCAGUGUACUUACAUGCAGAAGCUAUUGUUAGGGAUAACCAGGAGAUCAUAAAUUCUGUAUAGUUCACUAUAUGUUAAUACAUGAGCAGUAAUCUUUUCAGUAGCUAUUAUCAUGGCAACCACUUAGACCCAAAUAGCUUACUGGGUAUGUACAGGCAUGCAGCUCGGGGUGGGCACACGGGUUGUGCCCCUCCCACUCAACCACCAAAAAGCAGUCCUUUUUUUUUAAAUAUACUUACUUUCCAUAAUAUCUAUGACUGCACAUCCCCUCCACAGCUAAUCAGAUUGUUUACUAUGGUUAUCAGACUUCACCUUUCCUUUUCUAGACAUACAAUGGCUUCAAUUAAAAAAUUUCUUUUGUUUAAUAAAAUAAGACUACAAGCAA